CGGCUCGGCAUCCACCUCAUCCGCUUCAGCCUCUGCGUCUUCAUCCAAGUCAUCUAGAAACAACGGUUUCCAUGAGAACAGCUGGCUUAGUGUCCACUGGUGGCUCAUUCUCCUGCACUUGGACAGGCAGUCCCAUCUCCACCUUGGCGCGUUUACGACUUGGACCCGGUAUCUCAUAAGCUGGCUUAGACCUUCCACUCUUUGUCCUACUUAUGGGUUCAUCUUCAACUAUAAUUGCAGUUUUCUGCAACUCUUCAAGUGUAGUGGGCUUAAUGUCCUGGGUGACUAGAUUACUUAUAUUUGUGGUUGUGGCGGUGGCUGUGGCAUUGGCGGUGGUGCUACUGCUGCCUGAUGAUGUUGAGGCUCCUUCGUUUGUCAGCUCACCCUUAACAUCGAUCAGAGUCUUUAGAAUUUCAUAAUUGAUUUUACUCGAGAUUUUCUUCUCUUGCAACAUCUUUUCGAUUGCCUCGCCUGCCGUCGACGAUGGUCCAAUUAUCUUUUUACGCGGCGGCUUACGUUUCUUUUUUUCUGGCUUUCCCUCUUCGCGCUCCUUAGCCAGACGUUCUUCCCGUUCCUUUUGCUCCUUUAGAUAUUCGGCAUUCAGCGUUUGCCACAUAUUUAGUUUAGUCACAGCCUCCUCUUCGGUCAGCACAUACUGAUCCAGUUCAUCGUCGUUGAGAUCAUCAACGAUAAGUUCCUGAUCCUUGGUCUGCUUGGCCCUUUCGACAUCUUCAAGAUCGCUUUGGGUUACGCGACAAAUGGCCUCAAUAUCGGGACGUAAUCCCUCGAUCCCAGCCACCAAGCUAUCUCUCUUAAUGUUUUCUUGUCUGUCGUCUUUGCAUUCCUCUUGGGAGUCACCCUCAAUAAACUCUUUGAUCACCUUGGCAUUAGAUUGUUCGAUAAAUUGUCGCGACUCUUCCAUUUCGAGAUCGUUCUCUGAGAAACUUCUUGGUGAAUCUGGCAGAGAACCGCUUUCACUUUUCCCUUUAGUAAACUGACGAAGUACACUUUUAGUGCAUUUGCCUAGAUCCUUUUCCAAUUGGGCAUCGAUUUGCUUUUGCAAAUCCGUCAGCUCGUGUUCGCCCAUCUAAAAAAGAUACAUAAAAUGAGUGUGAAUAUCAUUUCGUCUGUGUGUUCACAUUUACUUACGUCUUUGAUACGUUCACGAUCUUUUUUUCUUGCUGCCUUGAAUGAAGGCGGAUCCUGUUCCCUCUCCAAGUCCACGGUCAUAAAUUCCUCAAGUGUUAGCCCACCCGAGGGUGUCUCGGCAAACUCGGAUAGUCGCUUGCGCAAGGUGGAUUCAUGUAUCUUGACCACGCCUAUGACAUCGACCAGAGUCCGACUAAAGUCAUGCAUGCGUGCGGCAAUCAGCAAAGCUAACAAAGAGAGAUUGGAUUAUAUUAAUGACUUUUCAGAGAUUUAUUUGCCUGACCUCACUCACCUGCUCCACACAAUCCUGUGGGUCGGCGACCUGAAUGCAUGCAAUCCUUUUUCAUGCGCUGCACAAUUCGUAGCGCUGUCAUGGACACUUCAUGGGUUUUGGCUCCGAGUUGCAGUCGAUUGGCGAAGCGCAUAAUAUAUAAACAGGGAUCUGCAACGAAUUGUGGCAAUAAGGAAGCAAUUAAUAAAACCAAAAACAACAACAGACAACAACAUAAAACUAAAAACAUUGAUCCAAGCAAACAAUAAACAAGCAAAGUGGUGGCAUCUGAUGAAGAACUUGUUCAACUUCGACCUUGAAGUCGUCGGCCAAGCCAAUGAAAUCGAAAACAGCCAAUAAACCGGCCCCAAAACAGCCGAAAAUGAAGAACAACAGCAACAACAUCACAAACAACAACAACAACAGCAAUCUUGAACCCGAACUUCAAGACCCGAUAUUCAAUUCGAUUCAUUCAACUUUUACAACAAGGCAUUAUGGGAGAGAGAGAGAGAAAGAGAGAGAAGCGAACACGAGAGACAAAAGAGGCAGAGAGUAACCGAGAAACUGAAUAAUUUUGCUCUCUUCUUGCAACGACUUAACACAUUUUUUUAUUGCAUGCAAUAGAUUUUGUUGGCCAUAAAUCACAUUCACAUUCAAAUACAUAUAUGUAUGUGUAUAUUGCGUAUACGUCACGUAUUUCUCGGCUCCGUUGCCUGGGAUUAACGGGGUAAUUAGUUCUAUUUGGACUAGAUGAAAGAUAACCCAAGCCAAGCAGAGCCAACAACAACAAAAACAACAACAACUACAAUGGACAGCUCAAUUAACGCCUUGGUUUAGGCAAACACAAAACAGUCAAAAACAAAAAGGCAAAAAAGACUUGAAAAAUAAAAUAAAAUGUCGAGACACAAAUUGACUCAUGGCAAAUAAAACUUAGCACUAAACGCACUAGAAAUAAGCGGUAAACACACUCGAGUCCACGACCUUGCCAAAGAGAUCUGCGCUAAAUACUUCAUUAGCUUUGCGUUAAGAAGGGCGGCAACCGUCCUCUACGAUUACACAACUCGGCCAGCCAGCCAGAUAGUUACCAACAUUUCGAAAAUUUGCAAAACAAGUGGCGAGAGCAUUUUAAAGAAGUUUAUUUUCUGUUUUUGUUGUGUUUCUCAGACUUUUGCCUUUAAACAGAAAAUAUUUGUCUUUCAUAGAGGUUGAUGGCGAAAUCUCCAAUCUAUAAAGUGAUUCUGUUUGGCUUUUUUUACUAGAAUUGGUUUGGUUUGACAUUAUUCAUUAUUGUUCCUUGAAUAGAGACAAACUUGAGCAAUGAAUUAGUUCUUAAACCUUCACUAGACCUUUCUAUUUUACUUUCAUUGGUGUUUGUUACGCUAUUAACCAAAUUUAAAAGCGGUUUGUAAAUCUUUUACUAUUUUUUUUUGCUGUAUGCAGUAUUUUGAUUUGCUUAUUGAAAGUAGAUAGUGAAUAAUUUUGGCUUAACUUAAGACUACCUAAUCUAAGCAAGCUACUUAUAAUGUAGAUGCGGCUUAGAAUUAGAAUUAGUCGAUGAAAACAUAUUUCAAAAGAUUUAAAAAAACCUACUUACAUUCUUGGGACUAUGUCAAAUAUCUUUUCCUAAUAAGUAACUAUUAAAUAAUUUGGUAAAUUUACAAAAUUUA